rnacentral:rRNA from 1 species
CCCGCUCAGAAACUUAAAGGAAUUGACGGGGACCCGCACAAGCAGCGGAGCAUGUGGUUUAAUUCGAAGCAACGCGAAGAACCUUACCAGAUCUUGACAUCCAAUUGACCAUCUUUUAAUCGAGGUUUUUGCCUUCGGGUACAAUUGAGACAGGUGGUGCAUGGUUGUCGUCAGCUCGUGUCGUGAGAUGUUGGGUUAAGUCCCGCAACGAGCGCAACCCUUGUGUUUAGUUGCAAACAGGUCAAGCUGUGCACUCUAGACAGACUGCCGUGGACAACACGGAGGAAGGUGGGGAUGACGUCAAAUCAUCAUGCCCCUUAUGAUCUGGGCUACACACGUGCUACAAUGGCCGGUACAACGGGCAGCGAAGGAGCGAUCCGGAGCGAAUCCUAAAAAGCCGGUCCCAGUUCGGAUUGCAGGCUGAAACUCGCCUACAUGAAGUUGGAGUUGCUAGUAAUCGCGAAUCAGAAUGUCGCGGUGAAUGCGUUCCCGGGUCUU